AACAAACGCUGGCGGCGUGCCUAAUACAUGCAAGUCGAACGGGGAAAGCUUUCGGGUGAGUACUAGUGGCGCACGGGUGAGUAACGCGUGGAUAAUCUGCCUUAGAGUGGGGGAGAACUAGUCGAAAGAUUAGCUAAUACCGCAUAAGAUCACAGGAACCGAGGUUCUAGAGGUCAAAGGUUUUUCGCUCUAGGAUGAGUCCGCGUAAGAUUAGCUAGUUGGUGAGGUAACGGCUCACCAAGGCAACGAUCUUUAACUGGUCUGAGAGGAUGAUCAGUCACACUGGAACUGAGACACGGUCCAGACUCCUACGGGAGGCAGCAGUAGGGAAUAUUGCACAAUGGAGGAAACUCUGAUGCAGCGACGCCGCGUGAGUGAUGAAGGCCUUCGGGUCGUAAAGCUCUGUCGCAGGGGAAUAACACAAUGAAUGUACCCUGUAAGAAAGGAUCGGCUAACUUCGUGCCAGCCGCCGCGGUAAGAC
rnacentral:rRNA from 1 species